rnacentral:rRNA from 1 species
UACGUAGGUGGCAAGCGUUGUUCGGAUUUAUUGGGCGUAAAGAGCGUGUAGGCGGCCAGGUAGGUCUGGUGUGAAAACUCGAGGCUUAACCUCGAGAUGUCAUCGGAAACCAUCUGGCUAGAGUCCGGAAGAGGAGAGUGGAAUUCCUGGUGUAGCGGUGAAAUGCGCAGAUAUCAGGAAGAACACCAAUGGCGAAAGCAGCUCUCUGGGACGGUACUGACGCUGAGACGCGAAAGCGUGGGGAGCGAACAGG